UUGGAGGGCAAGUCUGGUGCCAGCAGCCGCGGUAAUUCCAGCUCCAAUAGCGUAUAUUAAAGUUGUUGCAGUUAAAAAGCUCGUAGUUGAAUUUCGGGAUUGACACAUCGGUCGUGCCUUAAGGGGUAUGAACUGGUGUAGUCAAUUUCUCACCUUCUGGAGAGCCGCGAUGCCCUUAAUUGGGUGUCACGGGGAACCAGGACCUUUACUUUGAAAAAAUUAGAGUGUUUAAAGCAGGCAUUUUGCUUGGAUACAUUAGCAUGGAAUAAUAAAAUAGGACGGCAUGAUUCUAUUUUGUUGGUUUCUAAGAUCACCGUAAUGAUUAAUAGGGAUAGUUGGGGGCAUUAGUAUUCAAUUGUCAGAGGUGAAAUUCUUGGAUUUAUUGAAGACUAACUACUGCGAAAGCAUUUGCCAAGGAUGUUUUCAUUAAUCAAGAACGAAAGUUAGGGGAUCGAAGACGAUCAGAUACCGUCGUAGUCUUAACCAUAAACUAUGCCGACUAGGAAUCAGACGAUGUUUAUUUUUUAAUGACUCGUUUGGCACCUUACGGGAAAC
rnacentral:rRNA from 1 species